rnacentral:rRNA from 1 species
AUACGUAGGGGGCGAGCGUUGUCCGGAUUUACUGGGCGUAAAGGGUGAGUAGGCGGUUGAUUAAGUUUUAGGUGAAAGCGUGGGGCUCAACUCCAUACAGCCUAAGAAACUGGUCAACUAGAGUGCAGAAGAGGGUAGUGGAAUUCCAUGCGUAGCGGUAAAAUGCGUAGAUAUAUGGAGGAACACCAGUGGCGAAGGCGGCUACCUGGUCUGUAACUGACGCUCAAGCACGAAAGCGUGGGGAGC